rnacentral:tRNA from 1 species
GUUGUGGCUCAGUGGUAGAAUGCUCACUUAAUGUUGGUGAGGCCCUGGGUUUGAUCCUCAGCACAACA